rnacentral:rRNA from 1 species
GUGAGGAAUCUUGCGCAAUGGGGGCAACCCUGACGCAGCAACGCCGCGUGAGUGAGGAAGGUCUUCGGAUUGUAAAGCUCUGUCGGAUGGAAAGAACCGCAUAGAGGUAAACAGCCUCUAUGUCUGACGGUACCAUCAAAGGAAGCACCGGCUAACUCCGUGCCAGCAGCCGCGGUAAUACGGGGGGUGCAAGCGUUGUUCGGAAUUAUUGGGCGUAAAGAGCGUGUAGGCGGCCGGAUGUGUCAGAUGUGAAAGCCCUGGGCUUAACUCAGGAAGUGCAUUUGAAACUGUCCGGCUGGAGUAGGGGAGAGGGAAGUGGAAUUCCUGGUGUAGAGGUGAAAUUCGUAGAUAUCAGGAGGAACACCGGUGGCGAAGGCGACUUCCUGGCCCUAUACUGACGCUGAGACGCGAGAGCGUGGGUAGCAAACAGGAUUAGAAACCCUUGUAGUCC